rnacentral:lncRNA from 1 species
GUUCCACAGAAAAAAAGCAAGGAAAUGUGCUAUAUGUAAGUGCUUUAUGCUUUUACAUGUAUGUUAAAGGCUGAAGAGGAAGAAUUGAAGAAAUUAAGGCAUAAGCAAGUCUUCAUCGAGUGUCGUUGAUACGCUCAUUGCAAUUUUUUAAGUGCUUGCUGCUACGAACAACAGAACACAUUAAAUAUCUUUUAUUCAACUUACAUAAAAAGCGAGGCAAGCACGCAGCACCAAUCGAAAGUCCCUUCCUAUUUUUAAUUCACUUCUUCUUUAGCAAAACUGCACUCACAGCUACUGGCUAAUUAGUCUUUAAAACAUUAUUUGCUUUGUCUUCUAAAACUGAGGAAGUAAUUUAAUUGAAGAUCAAAAUAUGGGAGUUUUGUGACGACAUAAAAAUAAAAAUAUGUAACAUAUUUGAGCUGCUAGUCCCUCUCAUUUAGUGAAAACAGACAAUCUUAAGUUAACACUUAUGUCAUAACAUCUACAACCUUUUCCUCCUCCCUUAUUCAUCGUGAAACUAAUAUACGUUACACGGAGGUCAUUAAAACACAUUAAAAUAUAAGCAUGCGAUUAUUGAAAAAACAAAUGUCGCAGCUACAACAAAAUUAUUUACAGCACCACAUGGGACAGCUUCCUUGACUAAACUAGUGCACGAUAAGAACGAGUCAGAGGUGGCUUUAGGGGACGGAUGGUGGAUGUAGAGCUACAUUAUCUCCUUGGUGUUGCCUGGGCGAAGAACAAAAGGAGACUGGUAGGAAUGAUAAUGACCUGCCAGCCGAUGUCUUAUUGCAAGGUGCAUCGUCGCUCUUCGUCCGAUCGUACAAUGGUGCCACCUUCGGUAACGGUUGUUGGAGUCCCCCUUCCGACACCUAGCCUCGAAUGCAUGUACAUCGAAUAAGGACAAGUGCGUUUAUGGUUUACCUGCUACUAGACACCUAGACACACUUAGGAUCAGGGCAGACGAGGGAUCUGCGUAGGGCCCCGUGUUUUGAAAGUCGCCAGGGGCCCUGCGCUUUUGAUUAAAAUCGUGGCGUCGAGGGCCCGACAUAUACCUUAUGCCUUGGGCCCCGCGGGGGACUAAAAAUACUCAUGUGUAGCGAUCAACGGAGCUUGGAAGCGAGCUACACUGAGUCCCUGCCAUCGUGCCGACUCGCUACAGAACCGGGUGCAGUGACAGUCUGGCGAGAGUGAACGCCCGUGUGCGCCCGCGUUACAGUGCGCAGGGCUGCGCGCGCCGAUCAUGACCCGUAUGUUGGACUUUUACUCCGCCGACCCGCUGCCGCGCUGGGAUUCGCUGGGCUGUUGAAGCGUGAUCCUGUCGCACACACUCCCCCCGCAGCUUCCCCUCGUGUAACCGCUACACAAACACAGGCUAGACUGGUUCUUUCCGCUCUUACCCGCACACAGAGAGCGUUGUACUGUCUGUCUCGACACAGCCGAUCUCUGAAAUGAAGAAGUUUGCAAUUGUCGACUUCGAAGACGACCAGGGGCUCGAAACCAGCAUUGUUCCCAGCGAGUGGAUUCAGAUGGAGACAGGACAGUGCUACUGGCCCGACCAAGGCGAUCCCCAGCGUGCAGUUAUAGACUGCUUGGUCCCCCGGAAGACUUGGGGUCUUUAUUCUUUUAAAGGAAUAAAAUAUGAGACCGAUGAGUAUCCGAAGGCAGCGGAAAAACUAAAAUCACUGCUACAGGCAAUUUCAGAUAAAUGGUAGCACUUCAGGAGGCGGCCAUCACGGACUCAGGCGAAAACGUGUGAUACACAAAAAAAGGUGCAUGUCUUCAUCUGAAUCAGAUGACGAAGAAAGGUUCUCUGCUCAGCAAACCAAGAGAAGUUGUGCGGACAAGAAUGGCCGUUCUCAGGGUCUUCCAUUAUUGGAAUUCACUCCACAACCAAUGAUCAUGAAGCCGAGGGCUGCUUCUCAACUUUGGAACUCGCAGCCAACGCCUCAAGCUCAAUCUUUCGGCAUGCUACCUCAACAUGUACAAUAUACACAUAUGUCAUACACUCCUCAACCUCUACGCGCGCGGCCACGGUCAUCAAGACCAUCAUCGUGCAUGCGGCCACGGCCUGGAACAUCAUCAACCAACAUGCAGACAUUUGAUGAUUUGUUAGACCCACAUCACUGUGAAGAUCACACUUACUUUGGCCCUGGCUCAAGUAAUUCUACCGAUUCUUUGUUGAACAAACUUAGCAGCAAAAUUGAAGACAGGGUGAAAUACUACAGAAUGUGGUUCACAAAGUGAAUCAGAUCAGCAUGCUUCUUCAAAAUGUGGGGGAUGAGAUGAAGGGUACAGCAGCCAUUCCUGAGGGCUUAUCCCUGCCAGUAACCAGUGAACAGGGAAUAAUCAGGCUGGAGGAGCAGCUGACGCAGAAGGAAUUUCGAGCAAAACUGAUUACUCACCUCUCGUGCAUCGGAGGAGACAACGUCACCUCUCUCGCACGGAGAAUUUUGAAACGGAUGUUUUCUCCACCCCUGGCUCUCAAAUACAACUUUAGUGGAGCCAAAGGGAAGAAAAGCUUCCAGGCACUUCAGCUGAGAAGUAUAUUGAUUGCCGCAGUCCGUAAAAUGUAUCCCGCUACAUCGGAAACAGAAUUGGAUUGUAUUGCCCGAAGAUGGUUUGGGAAUGCAAGAGACAGAGAUGGAAGGAGGAUUCGGAUUCGGACUCCAAGUUCAGCGCUAUCUAGAGAAAGUCCAUCACUCAUGGGUUGAUUUUUUAUAUCUUAUUUUUUAAAUGAUCUUGUAAAUAUUUUAUUCUUGUUGUAAAUAAUUUGUU